rnacentral:lncRNA from 1 species
GCUUCUCCUUGGUCACAUACAUCAGUCCUUGGGGAGCUUCUAUCUCUAUAUGAAUCCUGCUUUGGUGAGAGCUGAUUCCAUCCAGAUUCCUCUUCCUGUGGUCCACAUAUUCCCUCCUUACUCUAUAUAUGAGGAAUAAGACACUGUCUGUGGACACCAAUAGGAGUCUUCCAAAGUCCAUCCCAGGGAGGAUAGUAAAAGGAAAAUACUUUCAUAUAUUCAGAGAGGAGACAGGAGAGAGGAGAGCCCAUAUAUAAAUCAGAUAGAGGAAAGUAAAGCUAUACUAGCCUAUCUCUCUAUCUUUCUAUCUGUCAGUCUGUCUGUCCAUUUUAUCUUUCUAUCUGUCUGUCGGUCUAUCCAUCCAUCUACCUAUCUGUCUGUCUAUCCAUCUAUCUAUCAAGAGAGAAUAUAUGUAGAUAUACGGGAAGAGAGAGAGAAUUGAUGAGUACCGAGACAUGGAGGAGGAGGAAAAGGGUGAUUGCUGAGGAUUCUGAGGACAGAGGAUGUGUAAGUCCUGGAAAUGAAUAGAGAGAACCAGUAUAAUUAAUGCUGUAGAGGAAAAAGGAGGGGAUAGCCUGAGGUCUUAGAAAGCUGAAUAUAUUCUCUGUCCUCAUAACACAGGUUAUGUCAUACAUUCUCUGCAUUUCGAUACACACAAAUGUUCUUUUAUACACUCUGUGAGAGACUCCAGACUCAGAGGAAUGUGGAGAGUAGAUAUAUCAAUGAAAUGGGCAUGGUCUUUCUGUAUAUAGGGUUAUACACUCACACAUUGAGGUCUCCCAAGCAGGCAGGGAAGGGGGAGAUGAGGAGAUCCCCCUGAUGAGAAUAGUCUGAUGACACAAAGACCCCAUUACAUCAUAAUAUGCUGACUGGAGGGGGCAGGGUCAUAAGAGGAAGCAGAGGUGUAGGGAUAGAGACAGCCCUGGGGCUCUGGCCAUCCAUCACAGUCACUGUAGUCAUCUCCCUCCUUGACAGACUCCCUGGAGAGAACUGAAGGCUGCUAAUGGAUGUCUGAGAGGGGAGAGGGGUCCAGAAAUUUGCCCAAAGCCCAUUCUGAGGAUCGGUUGGCAGAAAAGUGGUCACAACACACAAGCCACAGACUGCUGCAUCCAGUCCCAAAAGAAAGAAAGGAUCCCUGCUCAUCCCUACAGAACAACAGCUUUCCAUUUGAGGGCUGCUAAUGGAUGUCUGAGAGGGAAGAGGGGUCCAGAAAUUUGCCCAAAGCCCAUUCUGAGGAUCGGUUGGCAGAAAAGUGGUCACAACACACAAGCCACAGACUGCUGCAUCCAGUCCCAAAAGAAAGAAAGGAUCCCUGCUCAUCCCUCCGGAACAACAGCUUUUUCCAUUCUGAGGGCUGCUAAUGGAUGUCUGAGAGGGAAGAGGGGUCCAGAAAUUUGCCCAAAGGCCAUUCUGAGGAUCGGUUGGCAGAAAAGUGGUCACAACACACAAGCCACAGACUGCUGCAUCCAGUCCCAAAAGAAAGAAAGGAUCCCGGCUCAUCCCUACAGAACAACAGCUUUUUCCAUUCUGAGGGCUGCUAAUGGAUGUCUGAGAGGGGAGAGGGGUCCAGAAAUUUGCCCAAAGGCCAUUCUGACGAUUGGUUGGCAGAAAAGUGGUCACAACACACAAGCCACAGACUGCUGCAUCCAGUCCCAUAAGAAAGAAAGGAUCCCUGCUCAUCCCUCCGGAACAACAGCUUUUUCCAUUCUGAGGAAUCUUGUAGAGAAGGCUAAAGGGGAGUGUCAAAAGGACUUUGAGAAACAUCUGCCUGAAUUAUGAGAAGAGAUUAAGAGGCCAAAUGUAAAGGAAUCGAGCAGCUUGAUUCCUUUGGAAAAAUCCCAAAGAAGAGGUCAGUAGAAGGCUAAGAUACAUCAUCCCCUUAGCAGGAUCCCUGUUUAUCUGGAUAUUUAGACAUCAAAGAGCACUCAGCCAUUCUCUCUUCCCCCAUAUAUUCUGGUGUUGCUGUGUUCUCUAUGAAUUCAUAUUGGGGAUUCUCUAUUCUUUGUUGUCCAGAAUUCAGCACUGACCAGCUCUUUCUAGGUAUUAAUGACUCCCGGUGUGAUCUAUGGAGUCAAUUAUUGUGAAAACUACUGUAUUCGUGGUGCACAAAUUCAAUGUAUUCUCCCUUGGGAAGUGUCAUAUGAUUAUUCAAGUGUUCUUCUCCUUGUUCACAUACAUCAGUCCUUGGGGAGCUUCUAUCUCUAUGAAUUCCGCUUUGGUGAGAGCUGAUUCCAUCCAGAUUCCUCUUCCUGUGGUCCACAUAUUCCCUCCUUUAUCUAUAUAUGAGGAAUAAGACACUGUCUGUGGACACCAAUAGGAGUCUUCUAAAACCCAUCCCACAGAGAGAGGAAGCAGAAUCCUUUCAGGUAUACAGAGAGGAGAGAAGAGAGCCCAUAUAAGAAUCAGAGGAAGACAAAUCUCUAUCAAUGAAGAGAGAAUAUAGGCAUAGAAAAAGAAUUCAUGAGUGCCUAGAUAUGGAGGAGGAGAAGGGAUGAUUUCUGAGGUUUUUAAGGACCCAGGAUAGGUAUGUGCUGGAAAUCAAUUGAUUUAAGGACAGGGUUGCCAGAGGACUUGGAAAUCUGAAUAUAUUCUCUGUCCUCAUAACACAGGAAAUGUCAUACAUUCUCUACAUUUUUAUACACACAAUAGUCCUUUAUAAAAUAUGUUAGAGACUCCAGAGGCACAGGAAUGUAGAGAAUAAAUAUAUUAAUGAAAUGGGCCUGAUCUUUCUG